rnacentral:rRNA from 1 species
GCGACCCCAGGUCAGGCGGGACUACCCGCUGAGUUUAAGCAUAUCAAUAAACCGGGAGAGAAA